rnacentral:rRNA from 1 species
CCUACGGGGGACUGCAGUGGGGAAUAUUGGGCAAUGGGCGCAAGCCUGACCCAGCAACGCCGCGUGAAGGAAGAAGGCUUUCGGGUUGUAAACUUCUUUUCUCAGGGACGAAGAAAGUGACGGUACCGGAGGAAUAAGCCACGGCUAACUACGGGCCAGCAGCCGCGGUAAUACGUAGGUGGCAAGCGUUAUCCGGAUUUAUUGGGUGUAAAGGGCGUGUAGGCGGGAGCGCAAGUCAGAUGUGAAAACUCAGGGCUCAACCCUGAGCCUGCAUUUGAAACUGUGUUUCUUGAGUGCUGGGGAGGCAAUCGGAAUUCCGUGUGUAGCGGUGAAAUGCGUCGAUAUACGGAGGAACACCAGUGGCGAAGGCGGCUUGCUGGACAGUAACUGACGCUGCGGCGCGACAGCGUGGGGAGCAAACAGGAUUAGAUACCCUAGUAGUC